UUUUCCUACCAAAGUGCAUAACCUCACUUCCCUUAUCAUGUUUAUUUUGCUGUCUUUUUGUCUCCACUUACCCAAUGAAUUCUGUCUCUCUGGGUCCUCUAAACGUACUCUCCUAUCUAUUCCUGUACUGUCAGCAAACUGUCGAGAGUUAUUAAUGUACAUGUAUUGUAUAUAAAAAAGUUAGGACUCUAAUCUUGCCGAAAUACUCAGUUUUUAAUAUAAUUUUAAAAAUGUCAUACUGGCUGCAAUACAUUCAUGAAGCUUUGAUUCCAAGUGGAAUACUGUCACAUUUUUACCAUGUUGGGAUUAGUACAAUGGCGCUACCUUUGUCAUUUUUUUCUCAAAAAAGUUUUUUUCUUGUUUGAUUAACAUUUAAAGUGUCCCUUACCGUUGACAAAACUUUUAUUUAUUUCCCUUUGGCAACAUGAUAGUAAAUGCAAAAUUGAAACGCUCAAGGACUCUAACAGUAAUUAUAAUUAAAUCCUACCAUCCCCUGUAUCCAUCUGAAGAUGUUACAGGAGGGUAGUAAUCCUUGUGGAGGCAUCAUCUUUCAUUAAAUGCUUGCUCCUUGUCACAUCACGGGCAAUCAAUGUUGGCUGCAAAAGCAUAAACUACUAUUUCAUUUUAAAAGCGUUGUAAAACGAAAGACGCUGUGUGCAUAAAGAUUACAGUUAACACGCAAUUCUUUUAAUAGUGAAGGAGUUAUCAGAAAGCGCACUUGUACCCUAAGGGGCAUUCUACUGAGCUAUCGAAAAGCAAGUUAAAUUAAAGCUCAGUGGGAAAGGCAGGAGCAGGGCAGAGGUGAUUGAUAGUGUAGAUAUUAUUUAGUAAUCCGAACACGUUUUAAUCUGGUUGUAGGGCACAGCUGCUUGCAGAACUGUGAAAUGCAAGGUCGCAUAUGUUGAGCUCAAUCGAUGAAGUCAGAACAGAGGUGCACCAUCUAUCCAAAACGGCCAUCCCCUAAAGACUAACACAAGCUACACACAGCUGUAUCUACCUACUGCUAUUCCACCUCCCAAAUCCCCCGCCAACGUGACUAGUUCUCCCAUCACUGCCAUCUCCUCAAAAUCGUGGUGACGAACCAAGAGGCGUGUUAGCCUCCAUGAAGGUUACACCUCUGUACCGUCUCGUCUGCUGUGGUUAAACAUUCACAGUGGAACACUCUUGAAGGUCGAGAUCAGGACAGGCGCGUUCUCCCAUUUCACUCGGCAACACACGAGCUUAUUUCAAGGUUGACGAGAAUUCUGGAAUUUGUUUUACAACCUCUAAAAAUAAAAUCAUUCAACUUCAAGACAGAAAUUCAAAUGAGACAAUAAUAGAAUCCAUUAGUCACGGUAGAAGGCGAUCGUAACUGAUGACCAACAAUGCUGCAGGAAACAAAACCCACAGGGGGGAAAAACACGAUAAAUACAAUUCCCCAGACUGACCGAAAAAGGUCACCCCGGCCAUUCCAGAGAGGUCUUUUUUAUUAUUAUUUACUUCGCCCACCAGCAAAUAAAAGCAUUCUGCAGCACAGAUAGCAGCCUUCAAAAUCAUGGCAACGUAGUGUUUAUUUUUGUGAGGACGACGACCGAGAACGCCAUGACCUGUUCAGCACACAUUUCCCUGCGCAGGGUCUUGAUUAAACAGACACAUCAGGCGCACAGGGACAACAUUCGAAUACCAACAUCUGAACAUGACAAAAUUGAGAAAAGUGGGAAACUCAACGCAACACGGAGAAAUUCUGAUGAACGAUCGACCCGAAAUUGCACAUUGCACAUUUAGCCGGAGACGUAACGUAAAGAUUUUUACUCCUCAUGUAUGUGAAGGAUGUAAGAAAUAAAGUCAAUUCAAACGUCAA